rnacentral:rRNA from 1 species
UACAGAGGGGGCAAGCGUUGUUCGGAAUUACUGGGCGUAAAGGGCGCGUAGGCGGCCUGUUAAGUCGAACGUGAAAUCUCCGGGCUCAACCCGGGAACUGCGUCCGAUACUGGCAGGCUUGAAUCCGGGAGAGGGAUGCGGAAUUCCAGGUGUAGCGGUGAAAUGCGUAGAUAUCUGGAGGAACACCGGUGGCGAAGGCGGCAUCCUGGACCGGUAUUGACGCUGAGGCGCGAAAGCCAGGGGAGCAAACGGG